rnacentral:rRNA from 1 species
AUUGAACGCUGGCGGGAUGCUUUACACAUGCAAGUCGACCGGCAGCGCGGACUUCGGUCUCGCGGCGAGUGGCGAACGGGUGAGUAAUGUAUCGGAACGUGCCCAGUAGCGGGGGAUAACUUCGCGAAAGCGUAGCUAAUACCGCAUCCGCCCUACGGGGGAAAGCGGGGGCUCUUAGGACCUUGCACUAUUGGUGCGGCCGAGGUCGGAUUAGCUAGUUGGUGAGGUAAAGGCUCACCAAGGCGACGAUCCGUAGCUGGUUUGAGAGGAUGACCAGACACACUGGAACUGAGACACGGCCCAGACUCCUACGGGAGGCAGCAGUGGGGAAUAUUGGACAAUGGGCGAAAGCCUGAUCCAGCCAUGCCGCGUGUGUGAAGAAGGUCUUCGGAUUGUAAAGCACUUUAAGCAGGGAAGAAGCGUAGUAAGCUAAUACCUCGCUGUUUUGACGGUACCUACAGAAUAAGCACCGGCUAACUACGUG